CAGCCCCCAGGGAUAUUCAUGAAGCCUGUGCAGAGAGGCCUAUGCAGGAAAGAAGUAAGGCUUCCGGCCGACAGUCAUCACCAACUUGCCAGCCAGGUGGUUGACCCUCAUUAUGCAAGUUUUGUUGUUAGUGAUUCCUAAAUCUUAUCGGGCUGUCAGCUUUUCUGAUUGUUCACACUGAGAGAAGCCAGAUUCCAUUUGAAACAGUACCAGAAGAGGCCACUGUGAUGAAGAACUGAAGUCCUUGACUAACAGCCAGUGAAAAAAACAGAUGCUGUCAAUAACCAGGAAAGUGAGUUUGCAAGUGGAUACUUCCCUAGUCAACUCUUCUGAUAAAACUCUGGCAACAAUACACUUCAUGUGGGACCUUGCAUCAGGACUAUUCAGCUAAGACUCUCCCAGAUUUGAUUCACAGAAACUGUGAGAUAAUCAAUCUUUAUUUUCUUCUUCUGAAUUUUGGGAAAAUUUGCUAUGUAGCAAUUGAUAAAUACACCAUGUGACAUAUCUAGCCAACUGUACCCAAGAAACAUCAUGCUUGAUAAUAAAGAGUGGACAGCAUGUGAAUGCUUACUGUAUUUACAAUCUAGUUUAAAAAAUUAAGAUAUACACAAAUAACAUAAGCCCAUCAAGAAAAAAAUGUGUACUAAAAUAAUGAUACUAAGAAAAUGACAUUGAAACAUGGGAAGCAGAGUCAUUUUUGUUGAGGAUCUGCAUAAAGCUAUAUAUAAAUGCUGCAAGUGAACUGAUAUGUGGCUGAUGACUAUGACUCGUACAGGUUAAGGCAUUCCAAAAUGAAGACAAAGUUUGCACAAAUGCCUAAGAGUGGUAAAGUACAGAGUGUACAAGAAAUUAGAAAAAACUUAGUUGGACUAAGUACAUAGUGGCAUAUGUAAUGGGUUACAAAAUAAUACUUAUUCACGAGACAUAGAAUGUAUUAAUAUUCCAAGUCUAGCACAAAUUAGGUGAUUUGGGAAACCACAAUUUCUCUAAACACUCAUAUAUGCUUUUGUGAAAGUGUUAACAAUUUUGAUAUACUCAUGGUUUUGCAAAAACAUCUGUAUUGUAGGUUAAGAUGCCCUUGCAAUGCUAUUUCACUGUUGAUUCAUUAUUAAAGAUCAAUUGAAUACAUGCAAAAUGAGAAAAAAAAUUGCAUCGGAGACACAAAGAUGAAAGUGUAUAAUUUUCUUGAGUUUAUACUCUAGCUUGGUCAUGGAUAUUAGGUUACAUUUAGCAUUCCAACUCUGAUGAAUUGAUAGUAAUUGCCUAGGUAUCUGUGUUGGAGGGGAACAUUGGCUAUAUCUGGGUUUACAGAAAACU
ensembl:lncRNA